AUGGUACAAAAGAAGAACUUCCAGCCCAACAAGUUCAAAAAUAACAAGAACAAAACUCAGGGCAAAGGCAAGUUUGAUGCAAAGAACAAGCCGUCACAUCCUACCAACUUCAAGAAGAAUUCUCAUAAGAAGGGGAAGGGACUAUGCCAUGUCUGCGGUGAUCCUAAUCACUGGGCUUCGAGAUGUCAUAACUGCUUUGAGGAGCGCAGACUUGAGAAAAGCGGCAAGUCCGUUAAUGUUGCCAUCGGUGAUACUGAUAUGAAGGAAUCUAGGGACUUCUCCCGUGCUGAUGGGGAAUGGGUCACAUGCCAUUGUUCGAGGUGUUAG
rnacentral:rRNA from 1 species